UGGGGAAUCUUGCGCAAUGGGCGAAAGCCUGACGCAGCGACGCCGCGUGGGUGAUGAAGGCCUUCGGGUUGUAAAGCUCUGUGGGGAGAGACGAAUAAGACGUGGCUAAUAUCCACGGCGAUGACGGUAUCUCCUUAGCAAGCACCGGCUAACUCUGUGCCAGCAGCCGCGGUAAGACAGAGGGUGCAAACGUUGUUCGGAAUUACUGGGCGUAAAGCGUGUGUAGGCGGCCAGGUAAGUUGGAUGUGAAAGCCCGGGGCUCAACCCCGGAAGUGCAUUCAAAACUGCUUGGCUUGAGUAUCGGAGAGGUUGGUGGAAUUCUCGGUGUAGAGGUGAAAUUCGUAGAUAUCGAGAGGAACACCGGUGGCGAAGGCGGCCAACUGGACGAAUACUGACGCUG
rnacentral:rRNA from 1 species